rnacentral:rRNA from 1 species
CCUACGGGAGGCUGCAGUGGGGAAUAUUGGACAAUGGGGGCAACCCUGAUCCAGCCAUGCCGCGUGGGUGAAGAAGGCCCUCGGGUGGUAAAGCACUUUCAGUGAGGAAGAACGCCUGGUGGUUAAUACCCAUCAGGAAAGACAUCACUCACAGAAGAAGCACCGGCUAACUCCGUGCCAGCAGCCGCGGUAAUACGGAGGGUGCGAGCGUUAAUCGGAAUUACUGGGCGUAAAGCGCGCGUAGGUGGCUUGAUAAGCCGGUUGUGAAAGCCCCGGGCUCAACCUGGGAACGGCAUCCGGACCUGUCAAGCUAGAGUGCAGGAGAGGAAGGUAGAAUUCCCGGUGUAGCGGUGAAAUGCGUAGAGAUCGGGAGGAAUACCAGUGGCGAAGGCGGCCUUCUGGACUGACACUGACACUGAGGUGCGAAAGCGUGGGUAGCAAACAGGAUUAGAUACCCGAGUAGUC